GUGUAUAAAAGAAAGACAAAGGCAAUAAGAAAAAGAUCAAGACUUGAACACAUAGAGACUAACGACUAGAAAUUAAGAAGAUUAUCAGGAGAUAAAAAGAAACCAUGGAGAAAUUUGCAUGCAAGUCUGCUUUCAUCGUCCUUUUAGCUUUAGCUUUGAUGGUAUCUGUAACAGUCCAGAGUGUUGAGGCAAAACGUAUGUUAAACGAAGAAACUUCUCUGCCCUCGGUUGAUCUCGAAGCUUCAAUGCCGACGGUUAAACCACUAGGAGGGGGGUUUGAUUUUUGUACGCCAGAAUGCAAAGAAUUAUGUUUUGGUACCGGUUGUUAUUGCGAAUGUCCUACUCCUCCAGCAAAUAAAUAAAUUACAUGAUCAACUUCUCAUAAAAAAUUGUGAGAACUAUGUAACAAACUUA